UACGGGGGGGUGCGAGCGUUGUCCGGAAUCACUGGGCGUAAAGGGCGCGUAGGUGGCCUGAUAAGGGUGUGGUGAAAGUCCGGGGGCUCAACCCCCGGAUCUGCCGUGCCGACUGUUGGGCUGGAGUACUGUAGGGGCAGGCGGAAUUCCGGGUGUAGCGGUGGAAUGCGUAGAGAUCCGGAGGAAGACCGGUGGCGAAGGCGGCCUGCUGGGCAGUUACUGACACUGAGGCGCGACAGCGUGGGGAGCAAACAGG
rnacentral:rRNA from 1 species